ACUCAAAGGAAUAGACGGGGGCCCGCACAAGCGGUGGAACAUGUGGUUUAAUUCGAUGCUACGCGAAAAACCUUACCUAGAUUUGACAUCCGGUGCUACCUGGAGAAAUUCAGGGUUCCCUUACGGGACGCCGAGACAGGUGCUGCAUGGCUGUCGUCAGCUCGUGUUGUGAGAUGUUGGGUUAAGUCCCGCAACGAGCGCAACCCUCGCCUUUAGUUACCAGCAUUAAGUUGGGGACUCUAAAGGGACCGCUUGGCUAUAAGCCAGAGGAAGGUGGGGAUGACGUCAAGUCCUCAUGGCCUUUAUAUCUAGGGCUACACACGUGUUACAAUGGGUACCACAAAGCGCAGCAAGCUCGCGAGAGCAAGCCAAUCGCAAAAAUGUACCCUCAGUUCGGAUUGGAGUCUGCAACUCGACUCCAUGAAGCUGGAAUCGCUAGUAAUCGUGGAUCAGCACGCCACGGUGAAUACGUUCCCGGGCCUUGUACACACCGCCCGU
rnacentral:rRNA from 1 species